rnacentral:rRNA from 1 species
UGAACGCUGGCGGUAUGCUUAACACAUGCAAGUCGAACGGAAACGAUACUAGCUUGCUAGUAGGCGUCGAGUGGCGGACGGGUGAGUAACGCGUAGGAACCUGCCUGAUAGUGGGGGAUAGCCCGAAGAAAUUCGGAUUAAUACCGCAUAAUCUAUUCGUAGUAAAGUGGGGGACUUUCGAGCCUCACGCUAUCAGAUGAGCCUGCGUAAGAUUAGCUUGUUGGUAGGGUAAAAGCCUACCAAGGCGACGAUCUUUAGCUGGUCUGAGAGGAUGAUCAGCCACAUCGGGACUGAGACACGGCCCGAACUCCUACGGGAGGCAGCAGUGGGGAAUAUUGGACAAUGGGGGCAACCCUGAUCCAGCAAUACCGCGUGUGUGAAGAAGGCCUGAGGGUUGUAAAGCACUUUCAAUUGUGAAGAAAAGUUAGCGGUUAAUAACCGUUAGCCUUGACGUUAACUUUAGAAGAAGCACCGGCUAACUCCGUGCCAGCAGCCGCGGUAAUACGGAGGGUGCAAGCGUUAAUCGGAAUUACUGGGCGUAAAGCGUGCGUAGGCGGUUUAUUAAGUCAGAUGUGAAAGCCCCGGGCUUAACCUGGGAACUGCAUUUGAAACUGGUCAACUAGAGUAUGGUAGAGGAAAGUGGAAUUUCUGGUGUAGCGGUGAAAUGCGUAGAUAUCAGAAAGGAACAUCAAUGGCGAAGGCAGCUUUCUGGACCAAUACUGACGCUGAGGUACGAAAGCGUGGGUAGCAAACAGGAUUAGAUACCCUGGUAGUCCACGCCGUAAACGAUGAUAACUAGCCGUUGGGGGGGAUUUACCCUUUAGUGGCGAAGCUAACGCGUUAAGUUAUCCGCCUGGGGAGUACGGCCGCAAGGUUAAAACUCAAAGGAAUUGACGGGGACCCGCACAAGCGGCGGAGCAUGUGGUUUAAUUCGAUGCAACGCGAAGAACCUUACCUGGUCUUGACAUCCUGCGAACUUUCUAGAAAUAGAUUGGUGCCUUCGGGAACGCAGUGACAGGUGCUGCAUGGCUGUCGUCAGCUCGUGUCGUGAGAUGUUGGGUUAAGUCCCGUAACGAGCGCAACCCCUAUCCUUAUUUGCCAGCACAUCAUGGUGGGAACUAUAAGGAGACUGCCGGUGAUAAACCGGAGGAAGGCGGGGACGACGUCAAGUCAUCAUGGCCCUUACGACCAGGGCUACACACGUGCUACAAUGGGAAGGACAAAGAGCCGCGAAGCCGCGAGGUGUAGCUAAUCUCAUAAACCUUUUCGUAGUCCGGAUUGGAGUCUGCAACUCGACUCCAUGAAGUCGGAAUCGCUAGUAAUCGUAGAUCAGAAUGCUACGGUGAAUACGUUCCCGGGUCUUGUACACACCGC